rnacentral:misc_RNA from 1 species
AUGAACCAACCUCUCCCAUUUCGUCAGAGCUGCAAAAACCCACAGCAAAAAAAAAAAAAAACUAUGUACAGUCCCGACCCACUGAGGGGAGGACGUAACACACAAGCUGGCCAGGGGAAGCCGCAGAAAUCGGCAGUAAGAGACUGGCUCCAGAAGGAAAAACCAAAGAAAAUAGAUAAGAUUCUCUCUCCAGUCGACUAGAGAGAGAAGGUUUUUUUUUUUUUUUUUUUUUUUUUUUUUUUUUUUUAUGGAACUGUCUAUUCAAAGUUGUGGUAUGUCUACUCUAUGUCUCAAUUAGCUCUCUCUCUCUCUGUUUGCUUCUCUCUUCCUCUUACUCUUUCAUUGCCAUUGACGCGAAACUACAAACCCUACAAUUCCUCGCCUGAUUUGUUUUCUGAAUCACUUGGCGGCGAAUCCGUAUUUUCUUUCAAUGUCAUGAAGAUCCUCAAUUUGUAAAUAUCAGGAGAAUAACUAAUUGCACCAUGCCAUUGCAAAGGCAC